GGCGGAACGGAAUGAGGCGCUGCAGUAUCGUCGUGGCCUUGGUGUGGAAAAGUUGACUCUCGGCGCUUGCCGUCGCCCUCAUUCUAUCAAUGACGCCCAUCGCCGGUUAUUUGAAAUGGCGUAUGUUCGAGUGAAGGUCUGGGGAAAGCAUUCCGCACUCACGGCAGUCAUGAGCGUCCGUCCUGCUUAGUCCAGUUCGUCAGCAACAAUAACAGCGUUGUCCGUUGUCCAAACCAUACAUCAACUUCAAGAUGAAGCUGGACAAACAAAUAUCUAAAGAUGGAGAUAAUAAGGAGGAGGAGCGAAAAGAAGUAAAGACAGAAAAGGAAACAAAGGAGGCGAUGAAUGAGCGCCUCGCAGGCACCUCCACUGGAUCCAUGGAGUUCCCUAACAAGCUUUUUCAGGAGCAACAGUACACCAAAAUUUCCUUCGAUGAUGAAACAGAGAAGGUGGAUCAAGAAUUGGAGGAGAAAUCGACGAAAGAACAAUUAGAAAUGUCGAAGAUUGACUCCAAAUUGGCGCUGGUUAAUCUCGAGACAAUCAAGGAAGGCGAAGUACUAGAGAUUCCACCAGAGGCCGUCUCCCCGCAGGGAAGAGACAGAAGAGACUCGAUUCCCAGAGCAAGAUUCUACUUCGAUGACAAUACUAGUGAGUUUGAGGGUCGUGAGGAUGGAGGCCGUAUUGAUUCAGUUCAGUAUGAUGAUGAUGAUGCUGCAUCAGUCACCUCAUUACCAGGUGAACUGCCACCUCCCCCUGAUGGUGGAUGGGGUUGGGUGAUAGUGGCAGUGUCUUUCCUCUGUAAUGCCAUUGUGGAUGGCAUUGCAUACUCCUUCAGUCCUUUCUUGGAUACUAUCUCUUUGCAAUUUGGUGCUCCAAAAGGGAAGGUUGCUUGGAUUCCUUCUCUUUUGGCUGGUGUCUAUCUCAGUGCAGGACCCAUUGUCUCUGCACUGACCAACAAGUUUGGUUGCAGAUCUGUGUGCAUAUUUGGUGGCAUAAUUGCCUCAUUUGCAUACUUCAUCACUAUUUUUGCUAAUUCUGUGGAGUACCUUAUGGUCUUUCAGGGAGUUCUUGGAGGGAUAGGCUUCGGGUUGGUCUACCUGCCAGCAGUGGUAUGCGUGGGCUACUACUUUGAGUCAAAGCGUGCUCUGGCAACUGGGAUUGCAGUUUGUGGGUCUGGUAUUGGCACCAUGAUUUUCCCACCACUGCUAAACUAUUUGAUCUCUGUGUUCUCCUGGCAGGGCACCCAUCUCCUCAUUUCUGGAUUAAUCCUUAAUUGCUGUUGGUUUGGGGCCCUUAUGCGACCUCUAGAGGUGCCACGCAUGAAGAAAAAGGACCUCUUACAGCGUCUUGCAGAGGAGAAACGUGCAAACAUGGAAGGUGGUUCCCUAUGUGAUUCUACGUACCUUACUUAUACUCAUCCAGAUGGAAGCGUAGAGCGAAGACCAAGGAAAGGCAUGAAUCCUGAUCCCGGUGUUCACUCUCAUUUGAAUCUGUCUGGCUACCUCACACCAGUAUCAACCAACUUGGCCUUGCCUACUAUUCAGGAGACACAAGGCAGCACUCCACCUGACAAAGAGUCUCCACUUGAAGCAACAGUAGAUCCACCAGCCACAUCUGCUGUAGAGAGAAGCCAUACCAAUGGUGGAGAAAGACAGACCCUUCUUGCAAGUGGAGGAGAACCUCACCCACUUCCAGCAAGGGUUGCAGCUCUUGCCUCAGGCACCAAGAUGCCACGAAACUGUUCCCAGCCUGCCAUGAAUCAAGGCUCCUCCAGCAUAAUUCCUAAGAAUGGAUCUGUUCCUAACUUUGAAAGGAGAUUAUCUAAAGUGGAAAUUGCCAGUACCAUGAAGGUGGUACCAGCAACGCCAAAGGCCUCUUCUUCAAAUCUUCGAGCACUUGGAUCACAAGAGAUGAGACGAAUGUCAGGAGGCUAUGGAAGAGUCAACUCUAAUAGCUCUUUCAUGGAUGGAGACUCUGCUAUUCUAAAAAUGCGGCGAUCAUCCUCAAGAUCUAUGAUGCUUCGCCCAAUGUCACGUCAAGACAUCUUUUACUCGGGAAGCAUCGCUAACUUACGAGAGUUCAAAUCUCAAGCAUCAAUGCUGUCCUAUCGAGAGUCAGCACUCAACUUGCAGGGAACUGGGGCGUCUAGAGCAGUUCUGGAUGCCCUAGAUGGACCUGAUGACUCAGAAGAGAGCUGCUCAUGCCUACCAGAAUCAAUCAGAGGAACCCUGAGUCAGAUGAUGGAUUUUUCCCUUCUCAAGAAUCCAAUCUUUCUUCUUAUUGGAGUCGCCAACCUCUUUGGAAUGCUGGGCUUCUACACUCCAUUUGUGUACCUCCCAUCUGCUGCCAUAGAGAAGGGUGUUGAUCCAGAAUAUGCCACUUUUCUCAUCUCUCUCAUUGGCAUCACCAAUACAAUAGGUCGUGUAUUGUCUGGUAUCAUAGCAGACUUACCAUGUGUGAGUCCAUUGUGGAUCAACAACAUUUGUAUCAUCAUGUCAGGAGUCUGCGUCUUCAUCACACCGUUUGCCAGUUCCUACAGCUCCUUUGUGGUCCUCUCCCUCUUCUUUGGAUUCUUUGUUUUAUCUGUCUCUGAGCUGUGUCAGCACAACCUGCCUUCACCCUAUGGUUGUUCCUGCAGCUCCGUUCAUCGCCCUCACCUCCAUCAUCAUUGUGGACCUGCUCAGCCUCAGACAACUCACCAAUGCCUUUGGUCUUCUGUGUAUCUUCCGUGGAAUAGCUGGGAUCUUGGGUCCUCCUGUGUCAGCUGCCUACAUCUCCCUCUCGUCAAUCAUCUUGGUUCAACUUCUGGGACUGUCGCAGCUUACCAAUGCCUUUGGGCUACUGAUCUUGUUCCGAGGGUCAGCCUCCAUGGUGGGGGCUCCUAUCUCAGGAAGCAUAUAUGAUGCUACAAAUAGCUACGACAUCUCAUUCUACUCUGCGGGUGCCCUUCUGUUUGUGUGUGCUGGCUUACAUUGUGCAGUCCCAUUUGUUCAACGUUUAUGUAGCCAAGAUAGCAGACCGGUCACCUACACCACCAAUGAAGAAUACUUAGCUUCAGUACCAGAAGAAGGUGAAAAUGAAGCUGUAUCACCAGAUGCUGGUGUUGGCAUUGUUCUUGAUAUCAAACCCAAAGAUUUUGCUGUAGUAAUGCAAGAGUCUGAAGAGAAUAAGAUUGUGUUAGAUGCU
rnacentral:misc_RNA from 1 species